rnacentral:rRNA from 1 species
CCAAUAGCGUAUAUUAAAGUUGCUGCAGUUAAAAAGCUCGUAGUUGAAUUUCGGGAUCAAUAUGUUGGUCGUUCCUUGGUACGUACUAGCUUAUUGGUUUCUCCCUUCUGACGAACCAUGAUGUCAUUAAUUUGGUGUCAUGUGGAAUCAGGACUGUUACUUUGAAAAAAUUAGAGUGUUUAAAGCAGGCUCACGCUUGAAUACAUUAGCAUGGCAUAAUGAAAUAGGACGUUUGAUUCUAUUUUGUUGGUUUCUAGGAUCGACGUAAUGAUUAAUAGGGAUAGUUGGGGGCAUUAGUAUUCAAUUGUCAGAGGUGAAAUUCUUGGAUUUAUUGAAGACUAACUACUGCGAAAGCAUUUGCCAAGGAUGUUUUCAUUAAUCAAGAACGAAAGUUAGGGGAUCGAAGACGAUCAGAUACCGUCGUAGUCUUAACCAUAAACUAUGCCGACUAGGGAUCGGAUGAUGUUAAUUUUUUAAUGACUCAUUCGGCGCCUUACG